rnacentral:rRNA from 1 species
AUUGAACGCUGCGGCAGGCUUAACACAUGCAAGUCGAGCGCGCGGCGGACGGGUGAGUAAUGCUUAGGAAUCGGCCUAUUCGUGGGGGCGAACGUCUAGAAAGGGAUGCUAAUACCGACUACUAAUGGAGGAGCCUAUGUCGGAUUAGCUAGUUGGUGGGGUAAAGGCAUAACAAGACGAAGAGCGGUAGCGGGGCUGAGAGGAUGAUCCGCCACACUGGGACUGAGACACGGCCCAGACUCCUACGGGAGGCAGCAGUGGGGAAGAUUUGACAAUGGGGGGAAGCCUGAUCCAGCCAUGCCGCGGUUGUGAAGAAGGCCUUAGGGUUGUAAAGCACUUUAAGCGAGGAGGCGUUACUCGCAGAAUAAGCACCGGCUAACUCUGUGCCAGCAGCCGCGGUAAUAC